AUCAAUCUCUUGAAAACUUUUGAUUUAAUAAGAUGCAUUUCUUCCAAAUAUUUUUGAGUUUAAUGGUGAUUUCUUUGGUGUCGGCUCGUGAUUGCGUAAUGUAUUGUGGCAUGACUUUCAAUCCUGUAUGUGGUCAGUAUCCCGAUGGUCACCUGCACACUUUCUUUAAUCAGUGCAUGAGAAUUCUGACAGCUUGUUUUGAAAGAAAAGAUAUUGUUGAACUCUACAGUGGUUUUUGCUAAAUGUCAUGUUCUGGGAAAGCAUCUUAGAACAAUUUAAUUUGUGUUUGUUUGUUUGUUUUUUCCUUAUAGACUCAAAAACGGCUGUACCGAUUACCUUGAAAUUUUCACAGUUUGUCUAGGUUGGUCUGGAAGGAAACAUAGGCUAUAUACAUUUUUGAUAUCGGGAGGGGGCGGACCUUCCCCCUUACCCCAAAAGCACUACACAAAAAUAGAAGUGGACAGAUCGGGACAAUAUGGGAUUCAAAUGAAAGGUAUUCAAGAGAAGAGUACGAAUUUCAUAAUAAAAGUUGGGUUCCAGUACCUGGAGGACCGCACCAGCCCCAAAACACCAAAAAUAGGUUUAAUUGAAGAUCAUGACAAUAUGGGACUCAAAUGAAAGUGCAAAGUGCCGGUGUCCGCCCCAGCCCUAAAACACCCUCCAAACGGUUCACAUUUACCGGCCAUGGCAAUAUGGGGCUCAAAUUAAAGGAAUUUGGAAGUGCAUAUUUGAGUCGAAAUGCCUGAGGUGCCAUUCCUCCCCUAAU